ensembl:lncRNA
AACCAAUUACCAGUGAAGUAUUCAUGAAAGAUCCAAGGGGGAAAGGUAGCUAAUGAUGCCUUUUAUCAGAUCUACCAAUACAUAAGAAAGUGCACUUUGGAGAAAAUAGAGUUGUUUUUACUCUUUACAGUCCUACCAUCCCUCUCCUCAUGGAAGUCACAAUCGUCUUUUGAAACAGAAGACAGAUCAUAACCUAUCCUUCCUUAAAAAUCCUCCCACGGCAUCCCACAGGAUUUAGGAUACAAUUUGAACUUGAGCCUCACCAUAGCCUUCAAGGUCCUGCAUGAUCCAGCCUCUGCACACCUCUCCAACCUGCUCUUGAGCCAGCUCAUCUGUGAUCUGGCUCACUGCCCUUCUAUCUGGCAUGCAAGCAAGCUAAGCCUGUGCUUUUCUCAGAGCCUGUGUACCUGCUGGUCCUGCUGCCUGCAGACCACCCUCAUUUCUGAAGUGGGAAUGUUCCCAUCUAGUCGCUCUGCUUCACUUCUCCUUGUUUGAUGAUCUUCAGAGUAUUUCUCACCUUCUGAAAUUGUCUCCUUUGUUCAUUUGUUUAAUGUCUGUCUUCCCCUCAAUGUUAGCUUCAUGAGAGAGGACUCUCAUCUCUCUAACCCACCACUGAAUGCCCAGCACCUGGCAAAAUAUCUGGCUGCUAACAGGUGCCCCAUCUAGUUAACCUUUGAAUAACAUGGGUUUGACUUCCUGGGUCCAUGCACCCACAAUUUUUUUCCUAUAGUAUUACACAAUCUUCAGUUGGUGGAGUGAAUAUGGAAGAACCACAUGUAUGGAGGGCCAGCUAUAAGUUAUAUGCAAAUUUUCUACUGCACCCCUAACUCCCACACUGUCUGAGGG